rnacentral:tRNA from 1 species
CUGUUGGUAGCUUAAGGAAAGCUUAGGAUUCUUACUCCUAUGUUGUAAACUUUGUUUUAUUCAGCAGG